rnacentral:snoRNA from 1 species
GAAUGUUAUGAUGAUGGGCAAAAUGUUCAACUGCUCUGAAUAAGCUGAAUAAAAAAGCCAUCUGAACAUCC